AUGUGGACAAGCCCACUCUUCAUCCCAAUCCCAAUGGCAAUUUUGACAUUUUGAAUACAUUUUUACGUCAACAGCAAAAGGCGCGUAUAUCAGAUUCCGGCUGAAACACGAUAUGAUCUACACAUUUCCCAUGAGCAUAUAUCGUCGAAUGCCGUAUUAAAAUGAAACGAUAAUAACUGUAACUUUCAGAAAUCAAAUUGUAGGGAAGCAAAUCAGAUUUUGAGCUUUGAUCAAACAAAAUUUCACGCUGUGAAACGGAAAUGGCGUCGAAUCCUUCUCUACUUUCUCAGAUCGGAGCUGAUGGCCUCGCUAGAGAAGCUCCGGUCAUUGCCUACACCGAGAAGAUAAUCGAGGAAGAGCAGCUUCAAUUAAGAAAGUAUAUUGAAGAGAAUUAUUCUAAAAUACGCAAUGUUGAGAGAGAAUUAGCAAGUCUAUCAAUGGAGAUGAAACUUACAGCUGGACCUAAAAAGGCAGCACUUGAACACAUGAGAAGGAAAAUAGAAGUGUCGACUGAAAGAAUUCGUGUCGCCAAGCUCAAUGAAGAACAAGCACGGAAGGCAUGGGAAGCAGCAAAAAAAGUUGUGCUGGAUGAGGAAGCAACUAAGCAAAAGUUAUGUGAAGACGUAAACCAACUGGUCCAAGAAAGCAGUAAUUCACAGUUUUCUAGACUUGAAGAAUUAAAAAGACGGCUGGAAGCUUUAAACCCUAGCAGAUCAUCCAUCUCUACUUCUCAUGAUGGGCAACUCAACAGCACAACUAUAGAUGUUUCUUCAGUUCCUCUUUCAACAGAACCAAGCAGUAAAGGCCCUGAAAGUAUACCCAAUCAAGCUAAUGGUGGAAAUGUUCAAUCUACGGCUGGGCAAAAUCAGUCUAUUCUUGAGGGAGAAGGUAGAGGGAAAAAGAAAAUUCACUUCCAAGGAAGAGGACGAGGAAUCGGAGCUGUGCCCAAGGGUAGAGGAUCGACAGCCUCAGGCUGGACAGGGUCUGGGUUUGAUGUAGAUGGUAGAAGUUAGAACCGCCAUAUCAGAUUCUUUUGGCAUGAUGGGACUAGGGAGCAUAAUGGAUUGGGUUUGAUGUUUCUUCUGGUGAAGAGUUUCACAGAAAUAAAGAAAAGACGAAGUGAGGGUUGAAUUGGAGAAUUGGCAUUUUAUCACUGUCUUGGUGCGGAGUAAUCAUAUCCAGGUUCUGAAACUUUAGUUCCUUUUAAAUAUACUUCUGCAAUUAUGAAUUUGUAUGACACUGAAUAUACAAUUUCCAAAUGCUUCCUUAUUCUCUUCACGUA